rnacentral:rRNA from 1 species
UACAGAGGUCCCAAGCGUUGUUCGGAUUUACUGGGCGUAAAGUGUGCGCAGGCGGCCGAGCAAGUCGAGUGUGAAAGCCCCGGGCUUAACUUGGGAAUUGCGCUCGAAACUACUUGGCUGGAGUGUGGCAGAGGAAGGUGGAAUUCCAGGUGUAGCGGUGAAAUGCGUAGAGAUCUGGAGGAACACCGAUGGCGAAGGCAGCCUUCUGGGCCAACACUGACGCUCAUGCACGAAAGCGUGGGGAGCAAACAGG